GAUCCGCCUAUAAAAAGCAUGUGCCCCUCACACUCAUUCUCCUGAGUCUUCGAAGACAUCUCAUAGCGUCGGCGACAUAGAACACAUUGAAGUAAUUAGGUAGUCCACGUUCUGCAAGAUUAUUAUAAGGUCCGCUAUGUUUGGAAGAGCAUACAACAGCGAUCAAACUGGAUCCAAAAAGAGGCUAUUAAACUUCCAAAUGUUCCAAGUUAUGUGAUUGUUGCGCUAAACAAGCACGUGCUGCACACAUGCUACCUUGAGGUCAAGAGUGCUGUGGGCGAUCCUCAUCCACACAAGCUGCCUCUGGUGCUAUGCCAUAGUGAGCCACAUGAAGAUGGAGCCAUGAUCAUGAUGUCUGUAGGCCACUACUGGCGAUCUUAAUCACAUGAACAGGCUGUCUCUGGUGGUACUGUGACAUAAUGAGCCACAUGAAGAUGGAGCCAUGAUCAUGAUGCCUGUAGGCCACUAGGCUGGCGAUCUUAAUCACAUGAACAGGCUGUCUCUGGUGGUACUGUGACAUAAUGAGCCACAUGAAGAUGGAGCCAUGAUCAUGAUGUCUGUAGGCCACUAGGCUGGCGAUCUUAAUCACAAACAGGCUGUCUCUGGUGGUACUGUGACAUAAUGAGCCACAUGAAGAUGGAGCCAUGAUCAUGAUGUCUGUAGGCCACUGAGAUGUUGAUCCUUCUCCACGUGACGUGGUCUGUGGUUGUACUGUGCCAAAAUGAGGCGAUCCUCCAUCAGUCUGUUUGGCAGUACUGUGCCGUAAGGAGUAGGUGCUGGACACGGCAUCAUAAAGUAGGCCCCAAGAUGUGAAUCCACCUCCUAGCUGAAUGACUCCAUGGGACCCAAAUAAUAGUGUGUGUGUGCUAUUUUGGGCUUUGCCUCCUGUACUUGUUUCACACAAGGAUGGAUUGUCUCCUUGGUCUGAAUUCAUGUAAAUCUAUCUAAAUUACAGUAAUGUCAGGAAUUUUUUUUUUUUUUAAAUAUAAAUAAAACUACUCCUACAUAUCUUAAAUGCACUAAGUUCAAAUGGCUGUAACUAUUUUUGUGCAAUGGUCUGUAGGUCACCAAUUACUUAAAUAAAAUGUUUUUUUAAAGUC